GCCAGUUACUCCUCCCAGAGGAGCGGCUGAUGAGGCUCUGGAUUGAGGAGUGAAACGGACGCCGUGUUGGAGGGUUACGAUGAUUACCGUCAUUACCAGGAGAACCACGCCGCCGGCGUCCAGCUGCACCGGGAACACGAAAGCGCGGGUGAACCAGCGACGUAUUGGGACGGGAAACAAGGUCGAUGGCGUGGACGAGCCUCAAUGUUUCUCUCAUUAAAUGGAAAGCUGUUCAAGUCACGUGGUUCAAGAGAAGUAACGCUUCCAGUGGGACGUAAAGUUGUCGCUUCGAGGUUUGAUCUUCUUACAGCAUCCAGAUCAGGUUUACCAGAGGGUUUAAAGUAAUGACGUCCCGGAGGGGGGGGCUUCUCCAUAAGACACCGUUGUCCUCCCUGACAGCGGAGCUUCGGUGGCACAUCGCAUCUGGAAUUCACCUCCGAGACAAAACGAUCCGCCCCAGAGUAACGAACAUCGACCGUGGAGGUAAACAGAGGAGGAUAUUAACAAUUCCUCAGAGCAAAUUCACAGAUUUAGCGCGUUAGUUCUCGGGUUUAGGAUAAGAGCCCUUUUGAAGGAGCCAGCGAAGGCGAGCAAAUGACUGUUUUCCCAGUAAGCUACAGAAGGAAUGUGGGAAUGUAAACAUUGUUCUGUACAAUUGAUGUGGUUACAUAUUUGUGUUCACAGAAGAUCGACUGCAGACGAGUACGUGGAGGCGAUUAAACUGCACGUGCACAUGAUCAGUUAUUCAACUUUGCAAUAGUUCUUAUUCAAUGAUAAGUUAUUCAAUGGAUGGACACGGUGACCUCUGUGAGAAACGAGCUUUUCCCGUCUUUCACCCAUUAACGCCUCUCAGGAGGAGAGAAAUGUGUAUUUAUUUAUCACAGGAGCCGGGGUCACUAAAGGGGGGGAUCAUGGAUGCUGGGUUCAUGUUUGCUUUUGUUUCACGGAGCCUUCAUCUGGGGGAAGACUACAGAGGAAUCGUAAGCAACAUGAUAAACAGGCCUCUUCAGCGCUCCUCAAGUCACUAGUUUCCCACCUGCAGCGUGUCCCAAACACAAAAUGUAUAUUUCAUGGCACGGAAUGCAUUAUGCGCACAAAAUGCACCCCGGGGGGUCCCAGUACCACUUCCCUGUGCCGUGUAAUGCAUUCUUUGCAACAAAAUGAAGGAAAUUAACUGGUUAUGAUUAUAAUAUAAUUACCAUAUCAUUAUCAUACAUUAACUUGCCUCACUGGGGUUCGCGAUGCACUUUGAUGACACUUCCCGGGAUCAGAAGCACUUCGCACACUCCAGUGCGUCGGGGGCCACGGUGGCGUUCUGCAGGCAG
ensembl:lncRNA